rnacentral:lncRNA from 1 species
UAUCAACUCCAUUUGUCACAAAAAUUAAGGCUAAGUCUCCUCUCCAGAAACAGAGGGAGCCGGGGCUCCGAAGCGCUCAGCGUCGGGCUGUCCGCCUCUCCCUAGAGGCCAAGUGAAUUUGAAAUGGCAAAAGUCACAGCCGGAGGCCCAGCACUAGGAGAUUCCUCCGGCUGCGGGAAAUCUUCCUGUGCCUGCUGAGGCUGCUGCGUUCCUCAGAGGCGCUUGGUCUGCCGUGGGAAGCUGCACCUCUGCAGUCCCCAAAACCAAAAUCAAACCUUAAAAGAGCCAGAUUGAGAAGUCAGUCACCACGUAAGACAUCUGGACCACCUUCAGACUCGCAUGCUGUGAGGAAGCCCAUGCUUACUAUGUGUAGAGGAUACAUGGAGAAGGAAAGAGAUGCCUGGCCAGCUCCCUGCUGUUUCAGCUAUGCAGAGGAGCUGAGCAGCUAAUUGGAGGGGACAGUAUGAGCCUCCAAAGAUUAGGGAAGAAAAGUGCAGUUGAAGAAAACUUCCUUUGGUUCAACGCAAAAAUAACGGAACGAAUGGCAUGCUGAAAUAUCAUAUGACUUACGAAAGUGAUGAAUGGUUUAUUGAGUCUACGUAUGUGGAACCCAUGAAUGGGAGUCGGGGAAGGGGGCAACUGUAUACGCAAAAAGCUAUCGUAAUUGCCAAAAUUGUGAUAACAAUGAUGAAACACUACUGGGAUUACUACUGUUAAUGACUACCAGUGAUCAAGCACCUCCCCUGCCCCAGUGUUUGCCUGCCUUGUUUGAAGACACAAAAAAUGUACACAAAAUGAUUUAGAACUGUUGAACUUUUCAGAAACUAACUUAAAAUCAUCUACCUCAUAACUAAAGGACACUGAAUUGGAGCCAGCUGAUGUAAGGAGCUUACCUUGGUUGUCACCUUCUGGUCUCUGUUUGAGGACCAGCUGCAUAUGAUUAAGGGUGAAGAAACUGAGACCCCAAGAAUUUAAGUAAUUUGUUCAAGGCAACACACUGCUAUGUGGUAGAACUACAAAUUAAGCCCAAAUAAUCCAGCUUCAGAUACUAUGCAAAGGUAUCCUAGGUGUGGGGGUGAUAACCUGGUGACAAUCCCUUCUCAGAAGGAAGACAGGUCCCAUCUACAGAGGUGAAGCAAAGAGUGUGGAACUAAAAAACUCAAUGGAAGAAUGGCUAUUAAGAUUUAGGAUGGCUGGGAAAUAAUAAAGUAAUAAUAAUAAUACUAGGUAUUGACGUGUGCUACAUGCCAGGCCUUGGGUGACAUUUGGAUUGAUUCUCAUUUUCUUUACUUCUCGGCAAUGGGGUCUUUCACCUUUCAAGCUCUGCCUGAGAAGUCAACAUGGUGGCAUUUGGCUAGGUUCUUUUAGGCAACCAAUUGUUUUAACAUGAUUUGUUGAAAAGCCUAUUCUCUCUUUCAUUGAACUAUAAUGCUAGCUCUGUCAUAAAUCAAAUUUUCAUUUGAUUUAUGAUAUGAAAUCAAAUUUUCAUUUGAUUCAUGAUAUGAAAAUUAUAUGCAUUUGAUUGAUAUGCAUUUUUUCUCUAAUGAUACUCAACUGUCUUAAUUAUAUAAUUUUGUAGUAAUUCUUGGUAUCUGAUCAGGCAAAUACUCACUCCCCACCCUGUUUCUUUUGUUUUUAAAUCCAGGGGUGUUUUGGAUAUUCUUGUUCAUUUGUGCUUCCACCUACAUUUUUCAGUUAACUUGUCAUGUGUGAAAAAAUAAAAGGCAAAAUUUUUUAUCCUUAAAUCAAUUUGGGCAAGUUUGCAGUUUUUUCUUGUAUUAUAACUUCCAAUCUAUGAAUAUGAUCUAUUUUUUCACCAAUUUAUGGCUUCUUCCAAUAACAUUUUAUAAUUGUCUUUUUAGAGGCCUUAUGUAUCUUUUGUUUAGAUUCAUAUCUAGGUAUUUAAUAUUUUUGAUGCUGUUAUAAAUGGUAUUUUUAAAAAUAUAUCCAUUUUUAACUAUUUCACAUAGAAAACUUAAAUGGAUUUUUAAAAUGUAGAUUUGUGUUCAGUAAACCUGUUAAAAUCUCUUAGAAUGUCUAAGAGUUUAUUUAUUCAAUUUGAUUUUCUUUUUUUUUUCUGGAGAUGGAGUUUCGCUCUUGUUGCCCAGGCUGGAGUGCAGUGGCAUGAUCUCAGCUCACUGCAACCUCUGGCUCCUGGGUUCAAGCAAUUCUCCUGUCUCAGCCUCCGGAGUAGCUGGGAUUACAGGCUCCCACCACCAUGCCCAGCUAAUUUUUGGUAUUUUUAGUAGAGACAGGGUUUCACCAUGUUGGCCAGGCUGGUCUCAAACUCCUGACCUCAGGAGAUCCGACUGCCUUGGCUUCCCAAAAUGCUGGCAUUACAGGCGUGAGCCACCGCGCCCUGGCCUAUUCUACUGGAUUUUCUAUGCAAUUGUAUUAUAACUCAUCGUAAAGAUAAUUUUAUUUCUUUUCCACAAUCUUUACAGGUUUAAUUUUUUUCUAUGCCUUGCUGCACUCUUUAUGAUUUCCAGUAUUUGCACUACUCUGGCCUUUGGUCUUUGCUCUUGCAUCAGCCUUUCAUAAUUGGGUAUGUUUGUUUUAAGUUUUCUGUAGAGAGUCUUUAUGAGGUUAAGAAAUUUGCUUUCAUUUCUAGUUUAUUAAGAGAUUUUAUUAUAAAUCAAUGUUAAAUUUUAUCAAAAUUUCUCCAUUGCAUUUCUAUUGAGAUGAUCACAUGAUUAUUAAAAUUUAGUAUAAAGAUUUAUUAUUUUGAUAUUUUAAAAUCAGGUUUAUUGAGGCAUAAUUUAUGUAUAAUAAAAUUUACCCUAUUAGAGUAUCCAGUCCAGUAAGUUUUGGUAAAUGUACGCAAAUAACACAAUAAACAGGUUUAGAACUUUUCCAUCACCACAAAAAGUUUAUCAGGCCCCUUUGCAGUUAAUACUCACCUUCUCUCCAGGCCCAGUAAACCAUGGAUCUGCUUUUUGUUACUGUAGUUUUUCCUUUACUUUGAUUUUUUUGAGUGUUAAGCCAGCCUUACAUAUCUGAGUUAACUUGGUCAUGAUAUCUUCUACAAACAUUAAUGAAUUUAGUAUGAUUGGCUGAUGCCUUUGCUUUCCUAUAUUGUCCUUGCCUGGUUGGUACAAGGAUUAUACAAUACUUAUAAAGUGAGUUGAAGACAGUUUCCGCUUUUCACCAGCUGGAAUAAUUUAUGUAUUAUUGAAAUUAAUUGUUCCUUAAAUACUUGGCAGAAUUCACUAUAAAGGCACUUAAUUCUAGACCUUUUGGAGGAAGAUAAAAUACUGAUUUUUUUAAUCAUUAUUUUAUUUUUGUAAUACAGCUUAUUUUUCCAGAAAAUUCUACUUUUCAUUUACAUCUUCAAGUCAGAUUAAAGUUGUAUUAAUAACCUCUUACUAUUUAAAUCUCAGCAGAAUGUGAAGUUCUGUUCCCCCUUUGUAUCCAUUUUUUUCCCUAGAUAUUUUUCUGUUAUCUGUUUUAAAUUUAAUUCCAUUGUCAUCAGAGAUAAUACUUUGUAUGACUUGCAUUAUUUUAUGUAUAUUGAGACUUGUUAUAAGGCACAGAGUAUGGUCUAUCUUGGUAAUCAUUCCUGGCACACUUAAAAAUAAUGUGUUUUCUGCUAUUGUUGAGUGGAAUGUUCUGUAACUGUGAAUUAGGUCAAGUUAGUUGACAGUGUUCAAGUCUUUUAUAUUAUUACUGAUUUUCUUUCUACUCACUCUAUCAAUUAGUGAAAGGUGUCAAUAUUUCCAGUUAUAAUCAUGGAUUUGUCUAUUUUUACUUUCAGUUAGAAAUUUCUAGCUGAAACUAUUUCUACUUUCAGUUAGUGUUAGCUUGCUAUAUCUUUUUUCCAUCCUUCUUCUUUUAACCCAAUGUAUCUUUAUAUUGACAUUACAUAUAUGAUUUAUAUUAUAUUAUGUUACUAUAUCUUGUAUGUAGCAUAUAUUUGGAUCUUUUUUAAUCCAAUCUGAUGAUCUUUGCUUUUUAAUUAAUGUAUUUAGAUCAUUUACAUUUACUGUGAUUAUUAAUAUGUAUUAAGUUCAAAUCUACCACUUUGGUAUUGAAUAUCUAAUUGUCCCAUUUGUUCUUUGUUUCAAAAAAACUCUUUUUUUGCCUUUUUUUGUAUUGAGUAUUUUAAAAUUCUAUUUCAUCUUCUUUGUUUGCUUAUUAGCUAUAACUUUAUUUUGCUAAUUUAGUGGUUGCUUUAGGGUUUAUAGUAAACAUCUUCAACUUAUCACAUUCUGUGUUCUAGUCAUAUUAUAUUAUUUAACACAUAGUAUAAAAACUUUAUUGUAGUAUACUUUCAUUUUCCUCCAGUAAUUGUGCGAUUCUUGUCAUCCAUUUUUCUUCUACAUGUUAUAAACUCCACAUGAUUUUGUAAUAUUUUUGUUUAAACAAUAUUUUAUUUAGACUUAAUAAUAAAUAAUAAAAAUAUAUACUAACCU